rnacentral:rRNA from 1 species
UACGAGUGCCCCAAGCGUUGUCCGGAAUUAUUGGGCGUAAAGCGCGCGCAGGUGGUCCUUUAAGUCUGAUGUGAAAGCCCACGGCUCAACCGUGGAGGGUCAUUGGAAACUGGGGGACUUGAGUGCAGGAGAGAAGAGUGGAAUUCCACGUGUAGCGGUGAAAUGCGUAGAGAUGUGGAGGAACACCAGUGGCGAAGGCGACUCUUUGGCCUGUAACUGACACUGAGGCGCGAAAGCGUGGGGAGCAAACAGG